UACGUAGGGACCAAGCGUUGUUCGGAUUUACUGGGCGUAAAGGGCGCGUAGGCGGCUUAACAAGUCACUUGUGAAAUCUCCGGGCUUAACUCGGAACGGCCAAGUGAAACUGUCAAGCUAGAGUGCAGAAGGGGCAAUCGGAAUUCUUGGUGUAGCGGUGAAAUGCGUAGAUAUCGAGAGGAACACCUGCGGCGAAGGCGGGUUGCUGGGCCGACACUGACGCUGAGGCGCGAAAGCCAGGGGAGCGAACGGG
rnacentral:rRNA from 1 species